GGGUAGCAAUACACCGGCGUACGGGUGCGUAACGCGUAUGGAACCUGCCCUUAUCUGGGGGAUAACUCGGGGAAACUCGAGCUAAUACCGCAUAAGAUAGUAGAAUGGCAUCAUUCAGCUAUUAAAGAUUUAUUGGAUAAGGAUGGCCAUGCGUAAGAUUAGAUAGUUGGCGAGGUAAUGGCUCACCAAGUCUACGAUCUUUAGGGGCUCUGAGAGGAGAAUCCCCCACACUGGCACUGAGAUACGGGCCAGACUCCUACGGGAGGCAGCAGUAGGGAAUAUUGGGCAAUGGGCGAAAGCCUGACCCAGCCACGCCGCGUGCAGGAAGACGGCCCUCUGGGUUGUAAACUGCUUUUAACUGGGAAGAAAAGAGGCCUUGCGAGGCAAGUUGACGGUACCAGUUGAAUAAGCCACGGCUAACUACGUGCCAGCAGCCGCGGUAAUACGUAGGUGGCGAGCGUUAUCCGGAUUUAUUGGGUUUAAAGGGAGCGUAGGCGGCUGAUUAAGUCAGCGGUGAAAGGUAGCAGCUUAACUGUUUUACAUGCCGUUGAUACUGGUUAGCUUGAGUUGACAGAAGGCAGAUAGAAUUCCUGAUGUAGCGGUGAAAUGCUUAGAUAUCAGGAGGAAUACCGAUUGCGAAGGCAGUCUGCUGCAGUCACACUGACGCUGAGGCUCGAAGGUGCGGGGAUCAAACAGGAUUAGAUACCCUGGUAGUCCGCACAGUAAACGAUGAUUACUAGAUGUUGGCGAUGCCAGUGUCCAAG
rnacentral:rRNA from 1 species